GUAGGUGGCAAGCGUUGUCCGGAAUUAUUGGGCGUAAAGCGCGCGCAGGCGGUUCUUUAAGUCUGCUGUGAAAGCCCACGGCUCAACCGUGGAGGGUCAUUGGAAACUGGAGAACUUGAGUACAGAAGAGGAAAGCGGAAUUCCACGUGUAGCGGUGAAAUGCGUAGAGAUGUGGAGGAACACCAGUGGCGAAGGCGGCUUUCUGGUCUGUAACUGACGCUGAGGCGCGAAAGCGUGGGGAGCAAACAGGGAUUAGAUACCCUGGUAGUCCACGCCGUAAACGAUGAGUGCUAAGUGUUAGGGGGGUUUCCGCCCCCUUAGUGCUGCAGCUAACGCAUUAAGCACUCCGCCUGGGGAGUACGGCCGCAAGGCUG
rnacentral:rRNA from 1 species